GUCGUUUUUGUGUUGUCAUUUAUCUCCGUAUGUAAGUGGACUUGUUACUGGAAAAGAUGGAAACUUUUGAAUUUUAUAACGUCUUGGAAGAUGUGUCGCCUGAAAAAUUUAACUCCAGUCGAAUGAAGAGGGAGCAAAAUGAAAUGCGACAUGUGUCUGUGAACUUUAUAAUGGACAUGUACAGCUUUUGAUGCCCAGUGGUAACCAGCCUACCAUGUGGCUCAACAGAUGCCAGUGUACCCGAAUACUGAGACACAAUUGGAUGUUCUAUUCUUCUGCUUUUAAGAUUCCCUGUUUGGGAUGAUGUGCAGUUCAUUUUAUAUUUGCUAUUUCUACAGUUACAGUGAAAUAGAAGAGUCUGGUCGUGUUAUGGGGCAGCAGUUGAAGAAGAAGGAUGGAGAGAUGUGUGCCAUGUUGAAGUAUCGGCUGGUCCUCCUGCCCGCUCUUCUAGAAUCCUCCAUCUAAACCUCUGCUCUGAUCUGCUGUGUCUUUGCCAAGUGAUCACGAGUUUAUUGCAAUGGUGCACAUACCCCUCCCAGAACCCCCGUGUCUCCACCGCCUGUUACAUCAAGUCCAACUGCCUGUGAUGCUGAAGAGAAGAAAAGUUCACAAGAUGUCCUAAAAUGGAAUUGUGAUUGGACUGAGACGGCCACAAUUGUGUGCUGGGAUGUGCAGAGAGGGCUGUGCUGGCUUUGGCUUGGGACCCCCAGAGGUUUAUUAUCUCCAGUAUCCUUGAAGACUGCAAGUUUGUCUUUGUCCCCAGCCAUUUGACCAGGCAGUGUAUUUAUUACAAAGGACAAGGACCCCUAACUGUAUGUUUUUGAAGAGCAAGUUGAGCUACACUUGUAAGCAAAGGUGAUAUAGAAAUAUUAUUAGUGAACAAAUUUUAACGGACAGAUCAGGAAAAAUGUCAGUUUAAAUAGAACACAUUUUUAAUGGAAUAUUGCUGGAUAACAACUCUUUGACUCUGAGUAGCAUCUUGUUCAUAAAGCUAAAAUAGCAUUUUUCCUUUUUUGACAAAUUUAAUGAUUCAC